CACCAAUAUCAACUUUAUUUG
rnacentral:miRNA from 1 species